UACGUAGGGUGCAAGCGUUGUCCGGAAUUAUUGGGCGUAAAGGGCUCGUAGGCGGUUUGUCGCGUCGGGAGUAAAAUCCACUGGCUUAACUGGUGGCUUGCUUUCGAUACGGGCAGACUGGAGGUAUGCAGGGGAGAACGGAAUUCCUGGUGUAGCGGUGAAAUGCGCAGAUAUCAGGAGGAACACCGGUGGCGAAGGCGGUUCUCUGGGCAUGUCCUGACGCUGAGGAGCGAAAGUGUGGGGAGCGAACAGG
rnacentral:rRNA from 1 species